CCUACGGGUGGCAGCAGUGAGGAAUAUUGGUCAAUGGACGAGAGUCUGAACCAGCCAAGUAGCGUGAAGGAUUACUGCCCUAUGGGUUGUAAACUUCUUUUAUAUGGGAAUAAAAUGUUCCACGUGUGGGAUUUUGUAUGUACCAUAUGAAUAAGGAUCGGCUAACUCCGUGCCAGCAGCCGCGGUAAUACGGAGGAUCCGAGCGUUAUCCGGAUUUAUUGGGUUUAAAGGGAGCGUAGGUGGAUUGUUAAGUCAGUUGUGAAAGUUUGCGGCUCAACCGUAAAAUUGCAGUUGAAACUGGCAGUCUUGAGUACAGUAGAGGUGGGCGGAAUUCGUGGUGUAGCGGUGAAAUGCUUAGAUAUCACGAAGAACUCCGAUUGCGAAGGCAGUUCACUGGACUGCAACUGACACUGAGGCUCGAAAGUGUGGGUAUCAAACAGGAUUAGAUACCCGUGUAGUC
rnacentral:rRNA from 1 species